UAAUUAUAUGGAGAUAGGGGAGCACGACUUGAUAGGACAAAACGCUUUGUCGAUUAAUGGGAUAGUAGUUGGAAUAUAUACAUAGAGUUUGGCUAUUAUAUUCUUAUGAGUACGAUCACCCUCGUAUUCAUAAAUUAUUUUUGAUGAUAGAGCUUUCGAAUUAACGAUCCAUAUUGUUAAAUAUUAUCUAAAGUAUUUAAAACUUCUAGAAAUCAAAUUUCAUAAUUUUUCGACAUCAUUUACCUUACGAUCAAAAGGCCACAAAAUUGACAAGUUUUGACGGCCGAUAUGGGAUACUUGCUAAUUUAACGGUGUAAAAUAAUCGGAAUCGGUUGAACUUUUGAUAGAAAAUUCUAUUAACUACCUAGAUAAAAAUCAAUAACUCCGAUCUUACAUUGAAGGAUUCAAUCAUCCAUUUUUAGGACGUCGUUCGAUUUUGACUGUUCAUUUUAUGCCCGCUUGACGGACUUAAUUAUGAUUUUGAAGAAUUACGAAAUUUAUUUUCUAAAGUUUCAAAUACUCUAGAUCGUAUUUAACGGAGUGAAUCGUUGAUCCGGAAGCUCCAUCAUCGAAAACAACUUGUGAGUACGAAGGGCUUUAUACUCAUAAGAGUAUAAUAGCUUACUCUAUAUACAUAUAUAUAAUGUUUCACAGAA
rnacentral:lncRNA from 1 species